UAGCUCAGUUGGUAGAGCAUGGUGUUUGCAACGCCAGGGUUGUGGGUUUCGAUUCCCAC
rfam:Salmo salar isolate Sally breed double haploid chromosome ssa15, whole genome shotgun sequence.